GAAGUGCGAAUGCUGACAUAAGUAACGAUAAAGCGGGUGAAAAGCCCGCUCGCCGGAAGACCAAGGGUUCCUGUCCAACGUUAAUCGGGGCAGGGUGAGUCGACCCCUAAGGCGAGGCCGAAAGGCGUAGUCGAUGGGAAACAGGUUAAUAUUCCUGUACUUGGUGUUACUGCGAAGGGGGGACGGAGAAGGCUAUGUUGGCCGGGCGACGGUUGUCCCGGUUUAAGCGUGUAGGCUGGUUUUCCAGGCAAAUCCGGAAAAUCAAGGCUGAGGCGUGAUGACGAGGCACUACGGUGCUGAAGCAACAAAUGCCCUGCUUCCAGGAAAAGCCUCUAAGCAUCAGGUAACAUCAAAUCGUACCCCAAACCGACACAGGUGGUCAGGUAGAGAAUACCAAGGCGCUUGAGAGAACUCGGGUGAAGGAACUAGGCAAAAUGGUGCCGUAACUUCGGGAGAAGGCACGCUGAUAUGUAGGUGAAGCGACUUGCUCGUGGAGCUGAAAUCAGUCGAAGAUACCAGCUGGCUGCAACUGUUUAUUAAAAACACAGCACUGUGCAAACACGAAAGUGGACGUAUACGGUGUGACGCCUGCCCGGUGCCGGAAGGUUAAUUGAUGGGGU
rnacentral:rRNA from 1 species